UUUUAAAGAAAUUGAUGAGCUGUUAAUUAGGAGAAUAACCCAUCUACGGCAGAUGUCCUUGAUCCGGGGUUGAGUCCACAAAGGCCUCCUUCACCAAGCUGUCCUAUGCACAGUAGGGCAAGCAGGGGUUUUGUGUGGCCUACGUGGACCUGUGUCUCCCGGUAUUCCCUGGCCACCCGCCUAAGACUUUCCGUGGUAGCCCUGUCCUCCACACCCUCAGGAGAGCCACAAGAUUCGUGUUUAAGACUGCAGGUUACUAUGUCACUUGGUGCUGCUAAAUUAAUCCAAUUACAUCAGAAAGGAGGAUGGGCAUUGAAGAAACUCAAUAUGGAGUUUGCUUUCAACAUGGCAAGAUUAGCCAUUUGGGCAAGAAACUGCUCUUGCCUGGACUGUUUGUUGCUGCAUAAAGUAGACAUGCAGGACCCACAGAAAGUGACUGCUGAAC
rnacentral:lncRNA from 1 species